AGCGAACGCUGGCGGCAGGCCUAAUACAUGCAAGUCGAGCGCACCUUCGGGUGAGCGGCGGACGGGUGAGUAACGCGUGGGAACGUGCCCUUUGGUACGGGAUAACUGAGGGAAACUUCAGCUAAUACCGUAUGUGCCCUACGGGGGAAAGAUUUAUCGCCAUUGGAGCGGCCCGCGUUGGAUUAGCUAGUUGGUGGGUAAAGGCUCACCAAGGCUACGAUCCAUAGCUGGUCUGAGAGGAUGAUCAGCCACACUGGGACUGAGACACGGCCCAGACUCCUACGGGAGGCAGCAGUAGGGAAUCUUGCGCAAUGGGCGAAAGCCUGACGCAGCCAUGCCGCGUGAAUGAUGAAGGUCUUAGGAUUGUAAAAUUCUUUCACCGGGGAAGAUAAUGACGGUACCCGGAGAAGAAGCCCCGGCUAACUUCGUGCCAGCAGCCGCCGUAAAAC
rnacentral:rRNA from 1 species